UACGGAGGGUGCAAGCGUUGUUCGGAAUUACUGGGCGUAAAGAGCGUGUAGGCGGUCGAUUAAGUCAGGUGUGAAAGCCCUUGGCUCAACCAAGGAAGUGCAUCUGAAACUGAUCGACUUGAGUACGGGAGAGGAGAGUGGAAUUCCUGGUGUAGAGGUGAAAUUCGUAGAUAUCAGGAGGAACACCGGUGGCGAAGGCUACUCUCUGGACCGAUACUGACGCUGGGACGCCAAAGCGUGGGGAGCAAUCAGG
rnacentral:rRNA from 1 species